AGCGAACGCUGGCGGCAGGCCUAACACAUGCAAGUCGAACGGUGAACGAGGGAGCUUGCUCCCUCCGGAUCAGUGGCGAACGGGUGAGUAACACGUGAGCAAUCUGCCCUGGACUCUGGGAUAAGCGUUGGAAACGACGUCUAAUACCGGAUACGAGACGCGAAGGCAUCUUCAGCGUCUGGAAAGAACUUCGGUCCAGGAUGAGCUCGCGGCCUAUCAGGUAGUUGGUGAGGUAACGGCUCACCAAGCCUACGACGGGUAGCCGGCCUGAGAGGGUGACCGGCCACACUGGGACUGAGACACGGCCCAGACUCCUACGGGAGGCAGCAGUGGGGAAUAUUGCACAAUGGGCGCAAGCCUGAUGCAGCAACGCCGCGUGAGGGACGACGGCCUUCGGGUUGUAAACCUCUUUUAGCAGGGAAGAAGCGAAAGUGACGGUACCUGCAGAAAAAGCACCGGCUAACUACGUGCCAGCCGCCGCCGUAACAC
rnacentral:rRNA from 1 species